rnacentral:ncRNA from 1 species
GUUCAUGCGAUGAAGGAAUGAGUACUUGCAAACGGGCCGUACCAGAGAGUCGGGCAGGUGGAAACCGACACGGAGACGCGCAGGGAAGAUGGUUCCGGAGCUUUCGUUGUCGAGACCUUUUUUUCGAAAAGGGUUAAGGCUUCGACGGGUGCGCCCGUUACAGCGAUCGAGGCCGCUUGUUGGAUGAGGCGGCGAAGCAAGGUGGUACCACGGAAGCUCAAGCUUUCGUCCCUGCA